rnacentral:rRNA from 1 species
AUGAGCAUGGUUCAGAGGACUCCAAAACCAUCCGUCCUGGCUGUGUGUUACGCCAAGCUGACUGAGAUAAGAUAUUCUGGACGUCUGAAGAUGACUAUAGGUGGCAUAUAUAUGAUACGGUCAAAGGAAGUGAUUGGUACAGUAAGUUUGCGUGAGAAACAAUUUAAGAAAUUGCAUAGAAGAUGUGUUUCAAGAGUUCAGUAUGUUUCUUCUUUGGAUCUUUGCCUUCGAAGUUUUGACAUUCUGUUCUUAUUAUCUCCAGCUGACCAAGAUGCUAUCCAGUACAUGUGUGAGAGCUUGGUAACCACUGAUUGCUCAUGUGUAGUCCCCAAGUCAUCAUGGGAUGUGCGAGAGAAGAUUGAUGAGCACCAAUACUAUAUAAUGUAUCUUACUUUCAUAUAUUUGUCACUAAAAAAUACUUUAUUCCUUUAUGAGUUUAUAUAUUUGUCACUAAAAAUAUACUUUAUUAUUUUUUAUCUUAUUUUGUUGACAUACUAUUUUCAACUUUUUGGGCCUAUCUUAAGAAACAUAACAUGUAGUGAUGUCUUAAGCACAUGA